UACGUAGGUCCCGAGCGUUGUCCGGAUUUAUUGGGCGUAAAGCGAGCGCAGGCGGUUAGAUAAGUCUGAAGUUAAAGGCUGUGGCUUAACCAUAGUACGCUUUGGAAACUGUUUAACUUGAGUGCAAGAGGGGAGAGUGGAAUUCCAUGUGUAGCGGUGAAAUGCGUAGAUAUAUGGAGGAACACCGGUGGCGAAAGCGGCUCUCUGGCUUGUAACUGACGCUGAGGCUCGAAAGCGUGGGGAGCAAACAGGAUUAGAUACCCUGGUAGUCCACGCCGUAAACGAUGAGUGCUAGGUGUUAGACCCUUUCCGGGGUUUAGUGCCGUAGCUAACGCAUUAAGCACUCCGCCUGGGGAGUACGACCGCAAGGUUG
rnacentral:rRNA from 1 species